rnacentral:rRNA from 1 species
AGUGAACGCUGGCGGUAGGCCUAACACAUGCAAGUCGAACGGCAGCACAGUAAGAGCUUGCUCUUACGGGUGGCGAGUGGCGGACGGGUGAGGAACACAUCGGAAUCUACUUUUUCGUGGGGGAUAACGUAGGGAAACUUACGCUAAUACCGCAUACGACCUACGGGUGAAAGCAGGGGAUCUUCGGACCUUGCGCGAUUGAAUGAGCCGAUGUCGGAUUAGCUAGUUGGCGGGGUAAAGGCCCACCAAGGCGACGAUCCGUAGCUGGUCUGAGAGGAUGAUCAGCCACACUGGAACUGAGACACGGUCCAGACUCCUACGGGAGGCAGCAGUGGGGAAUAUUGGACAGUGGGCGCAAGCCUGAUCCAGCCAUACCGCGUGGGUGAAGAAGGCCUUCGGGUUGUAAAGCCCUUUUGUUGGGAAAGAAGAGCAGCAGGUUAAUACCCCGCUGUUCUGACGGUACCCAAAGAAUAAGCACCGGCUAACUUCGUG